GGAAUUUUGCACAAUGGAGGAAACUCUGAUGCAGCGAUGCCGCGUGAGUGAAGAAGGCCUUUGGGUUGUAAAGCUCUUUUGUGGGGGAAGAUAAUGACGGUACCCCAAGAAUAAGAUCCGGCUAACUUCGUGCCAGCAGCCGCGGUAAUACGAAGGGAUCUAGCGUAGUUCGGAAUUACUGGGCGUAAAGCGCGCGUAGGCGGUUUAGAAAGUUAAUUGUGAAAUCCCAAAGCUUAACUUUGGAACAGCAAUUAAAACUUCUAAACUAGAGUUUGAUAGAGGGAAGCGGAAUACAUAGUGUAGAGGCGAAAUUCGUAGAUAUUAUGUAGAACACCAGUUGCGAAGGCGGCUUCCUGGAUCAACACUGACGCUGAGGUGCGAAAGUAUGGGUAGCAAAGAGGAUUAGAUACCCUCGUAGUCCAUACCUUAAACGAUGAUUGCUAGAUGUUGGAAAUUUUUUUCAGUAUCGCAGCUAACGCGUUAAGCAAUCCGCCUGGGGAGUACGACCGCAAGGUUAAAACUCAAAUGAAUUGACGG
rnacentral:rRNA from 1 species